rnacentral:rRNA from 1 species
UACAGAGGUCCCGAGCGUUGUUCGGAUUCAUUGGGCGUAAAGGGUGCGUAGGCGGCGGGGCCAGUCUGAUGUGAAAUCCCGGGGCUCAACCCCGGAACUGCAUUGGAUACUGCCUUGCUAGAGUACUGGAGAGGGAACUGGAAUUUACGGUGUAGCAGUGAAAUGCGUAGAGAUCGUAAGGAAGGCCAGUGGCGAAGGCGAGUUCCUGGACAGUUACUGACGCUGAGGCACGAAGGCCAGGGGAGCAAACGGG